AGUAAGAUAAGCUAAAUAAUAAGCUAUUGGGCUCAUACCCUGACAAUACGGAACACCGUUCUUACUA
rnacentral:tRNA from 1 species